rnacentral:rRNA from 1 species
UACAGAGGUCCCGAGCGUUGUUCGGAUUCACUGGGCGUAAAGGGUGCGUAGGUGGUGAGGUAAGUCGGAUGUGAAAUCUCCGAGCUCAACUCGGAAAUGGCAUUGGAAACUACCUUGCUCGAGGGUUGGAGGGGGGACUGGAAUACUUGGUGUAGCAGUGAAAUGCGUAGAUAUCGUAAGGAAGACCAGUGGCGAAGGCGGAUCUCUGGACAGUUACUGACACUGAGGCACGAAGGCCAGGGGAGCAAACGGG